ensembl:lncRNA
CACACACAAACAAACAAACAAAUAUAAAUGCAUUAUCUUUACCUCUAACUUAACAUGAACCAUCACAGUUCACGUUGGGUUUGAGGUCUUCAUUCACACUCACAGGUACAUAUGGCGGCAAACAACCACACAUACAUGCAAAAACCUGCUAGAAGGGGAUGUCUUAUUUUGUUCAUCUGCUGAGUUGCAGUUGAUUGCAUCUGUCUUUUGAAUAAACCAAUAGCCAUAUUUAAAUAUAGUGAUAUUUGGUGACAGUAUUUUUACCUGAUUAGAAGGGACGAGGUGCGAUGAGGUGUAUUGGACAUAAAAGAAUUGCUCUGGCAAAAGAAUUGGUCUGGCAGCCUGAGGAGGCAGUUUGACUGGCUGUAAUUCAAGUCUGAACUGCAGCUGUUAGGCAUUAAAGUGCUAAUCCUUUGUCCUAUAAUGCUCCAUUAACCCGAUGCCGAUGCCAACAAUACAUCCUACUGUCACCACAGUUUUGGCGAGGUCAGACCACCAACUUCUGGCCCCAACCGGUGUCUCCUCUGUCUCAUCCGUCUCUGAGAGGAACCCUUCGUCACUGUAAUACUCAGAUGAGUCUGGGUCUUCAACAUAGAUUAUGAAUUCCUCUCUGCUAUCUACCUGUAUUUCCUGCAGUCUGAAUUGUUGGAUCUCUGACAGACAUUGGUCAUUGGUCUGUUUAAGUAGUUCCAUUUCCUCAUCUCGCUCCGAGAAUUUUCUGUCCCAUCUUUCAACUUGAUUCUGAAGGUCAUCAAUUGUUGUAGAAAGACGUUCAGUGACGUUGAUGAGGACCCUCUCACCGAUCAGGAUCUGGUUCUUCAUAGUUCGGUGUUCCUCAAGUAGCACUUCAACAUCUGCCUCCAGUUUAGAAAUCCUUGGCUGAUUUAGAUGUUUCUCGUCAACGUUUCUCAGGAUUAUUGUUCCCAAGUGCAGAUCAAUUUUUGCCGAUUCCUCCCAUAGAAGCCUCAGUUCACGGAAUUGUGAUUUUGCCAUGACGCUUGGAAGUCUUCAAACACGUCCACUCUGUUGGUUGUCCAAAGUAAGAAUGCAUCCAAGAUGCCUUCUGGAGCCUUAAGAACUCUUUGACGUAGGCUGUGACGCGUUCCCUUCCCUUUCAUCUUUGUGUGACGUCAUAACAUUCUAUGCGCCACCUGUUUUUCCAUCCAGCUUCGGAGACGUGUGCACCGAAUGCGUCACAGGUUAAGUCACGUGACUUUGGCGUCUAACGCGCUGGCAAACGGUCACGGCGGCUCGCGUAUCUGCAUCCGACCCUCGGAAAGUAUCGUUAACUAUGAAAGCCUUUCAAUCUUCACAAGAGUUUAGAGUCUAAACUCUCCAGAUUGAAAACCUCCGUAAGAUAUAGGUCUAAACUUUAGACCUAUAAAGGUGCGGAGUAAUUUACACGUCAUCCUCCUGGUCGAACGCUCCAUUUGUCGGUCUUCGGGUCACAUCAUCCGUCACAUUUAUUAAUUCUUUAAAGAUUCAUUGAUUAGUCAAUCAACAGAAAUCGACUCGCCAACUAUUUUGAUGAAUCUACGAAUUGAGCAAUAUAGAAAGCAAUUUGAAGACGUCAGGCUGUGAUGGUACUUCGCUAAACUUGAGGACAUAUGGAUUCAUGACUCUUAACUAGUUGUACCCAUACAUGUUUACAAAAGGAGAAAUCUUAGACAAUGUGUUUUAAUAUCUUGUGAAAUACAAAAAUACUCAGGGGACCAAGUAUGGCGAAAAUAGCAGCAAAUCAUCACAUACUAGAUGAUUGAAACGAUUAUUAAGUACUUAAUCGAUUACUAAAAGCAUUGCCAUGUAUUCUCUCAACUCAUUCAAUACGUGUUUUAUACAUUAUACGUUAAAUCUUUUUUGAAUUAACUUAAAAACAACUUUAAUCCAAAAAGAUAACUACAACACGUCAUGGUUAAAUACAAUUUUUCUUAUUUAUUUUUCAACACUUAUGUCAUUUUGAUUCUUGGUGAACUCUUAUUACCCUUUCCCUUUCAUUAAAUGAUGACGCAUACGCAAACCCCAUGCUAGCCUGCACAGCUGUCCUCAAGUCCCAGAGAUCCUCAUUGCUUCUCAGUGAUUCGUCUCGCCGUCCCCACGUAGACAAUGUAGACACAAUAAUAGACAAUGUGAUAUGCUGCACAGGGAUGGAAGCAGGGGCGAUGCCUUUAGCUGGACACAGAGCGGCGCAAGAGUCUCAGAAAUGCUGGUAGAAGUUCAACACAUCAACGACAGUAUAUGAGAAGAGCACAUGAACGUUGCCUGAGGAUUGAUUUCGUUAUAGAAAGUACAGAGCCAUCCAGACCCUCCCCUUUAUUUUUUUGAUUUUUUUAUUCUCUCCUUUUCCUCCCCCCCAUUUCUCUUUGUGCCUAUGGGUAUGUAUGUGUCUAUAUGUAUGUGUGUAUACAUGUGUGUACCCUGUCUGUGUUGAAAAUGCACACACAAUACACAGUUAAACAAUAAACCUGUUGUGUAGUAGCAGAAUGUAUGCAUUUGCAUUUCUGUGUGCUGUAG